CCCUAGCCCUGAUGGAAACGGCAUCCUUUUAUGGUGGGGUUCACCAUAAAAGAUAUAGUGGACAUCAGGAAAUAGC
rnacentral:sRNA from 1 species